rnacentral:rRNA from 1 species
AAGAACCAACAGGGAUUGCCCUAGUAACGGCGAGUGAAGCGGCAACAGCUCAAAUUUGAAAUCUGGCCUUCUUUGGGGGUCCGAGUUGUAAUUUGCAGAGGGCGCUUUGGCGUCGGCAGCGGUCUAAGUUCCUUGGAACAGGACGUCACAGAGGGUGAGAAUCCCGUACGUGGUCGCCUGCCUUCGCCGUGUAAAGCCCCUUCGACGAGUCGAGUUGUUUGGGAAUGCAGCUCUAAAUGGGAGGUAAAUUUCUUCUAAAGCUAAAUACUGGCCAGAGACCGAUAGCGCACAAGUAGAGUGAUCGAAAGAUGAAAAGCACUUUGGAAAGAGAGUCAAACAGCACGUGAAAUUGUUGAAAGGGAAGCGCUUGCCGCCAGACUUGCCCGUGAAGGUUCUCCUCCUCGGGCAGGCCAGCAUCAGUUUGAGCGAUCGGAUAAUGGCCUCUGUCAUGUAUCUUCCUUCGGGAUGACCUUAUAGGGGAGUCGUAGUACGGUCAGCUUGGACUGAGGUCCGCGCAUUUGCUAGGAUGCUGGCGUAAUGGCUGCAAGCGGCCCGUCUUGAAACACGGACCAAGGAGUCUAACAUCUAUGCGAGUGUUUGGGUGUCAAGCCCGAGCGCGCAAUGAAAGUGAACGGAGGUGGGAACCCCUUUGGGGGUGCACCAUCGACCGAUCCUGAAGUCUUCGGAUGGAUUUGAGUAAGAGCAUGGCUGUUGGGACCCGAAAGAUGGUGAACUAUGCUUGAAUAGGGUGAAGCCAGAGGAAACUCUGGUGGAGGCUCGCAGCGGUUCUGACGUGCAAAUCGAUCGUCAAAUUUGGGCAUAGGGGCGAAAGACUAAUCGAACUAUCUAGUAGCUGGUUCC